UUCUGGCUCAGGACGAACGCUGGCGGCGUGCUUCAUACAUGCAAGUCGAACGAGAAGCUUACUCGGUGAGUGGAAAGUGGCGGACGGGUGAGUAAUGUGUAGAGAAUCUGCCCUAGAGUGGGGGACAACAGAGGGAAACUUCUGCUAAUACCCCAUAUGCGCGUAGUUGAGAUACUAUUCGUGAAGGAUUUAUUGCUCUAGGAUGAGUCUGCAUCUGAUUAGCUAGUUGGGGGUGUAAUGGACCACCAAGGCGACGAUCAGUAGCUGGUUUGAGAGGAUGAUCAGCCACAAUGGGACUGAGACACGGCCCAUACUCCUACGGGAGGCAGCAGUAGGGAAUUUUGCGCAAUGGGCGAAAGCCUGACGCAGCCAACGCCGCGUGAUCGUAGAAGCCCUUCGGGGUGUAAGGAUCUGUCAGUAGGGACGAACAAUGACUGUACCUACAGAGGAAGCACCGGCUAACUCCGUGCCAGCAGCAGC
rnacentral:rRNA from 1 species